UGGGUCGGCAAGGCGGUCGCGGCAGUUUACUGACGAGGAACGUCCGGGCUCCAAAGAGCAAAAUGGUGGGUAACGCCCACCCGGGGUAACCCGAGAGAAAAGUGCAACAGAAAGCAAACCGCCGAGAAAUCGGUAAGGGUGAAACGGUGGUGUAAGAGACCACCAGCGAACUGAGUGAUCAGAUCGGCUAGGUAAACCUCAUUUGGAGCAAGACCAAACAGUGGGCGCUUGAGGGCUGCUCGCUCGAGCUCACGGGUAGGUCGCUCGAGGCACUGGGCAAUCAGUGCCCUAGAUAGAUGACCGUCACUUCGAAAGAAGGACAAAACCCGGCGUAAUAGCCGGCCCAUCCA
rnacentral:RNase_P_RNA from 1 species